rnacentral:rRNA from 1 species
UACGGAGGGUGCGAGCGUUAAUCGGAUUUACUGGGCGUAAAGCGAGCGCAGGUGGUUUAAUAAGUCUGAUGUAAAAGGCAGUGGCUCAACCAUUGUGUGCAUUGGAAACUGUUAGACUUGAGUGCAGUAGAGGAGAGUGGAAUUCCAUGUGUAGCGGUGAAAUGCGUAGAUAUAUGGAGGAACACCGGUGGCGAAAGCGGCUCUCUGGACUGUAACUGACACUGAGGCUCGAAAGCGUGGGUAGCAAACAGG